rnacentral:rRNA from 1 species
UACGAAGGGGGCUAGCGUUAUUCGGAAUCACUGGGCGUAAAGCGUGCGUAGGCUGUUUGGCAAGUUGGAAGUGAAAGCCCAGGGCUCAACCCUGGAAUUGCUUUCAAAACUGCCAGACUCGAAUCUCGGAGAGGAUAGCGGAAUUUCCAGUGUAGUAGUGAAAUACGUAGAUAUUGGAAGGAACACCAGUGGCGCAAGCGGCUAUCUGGACGAGUAUUGACGCUGAGGCACGAAAGCGUGGGGAUCAAACAGG